CCGGGUUUAGGUUAAUGGUAGACUCGUCGCCUUCCAAGCGAACUGUGUCAGUUCAAAUCUGACUAUCCGGA